UACGGAGGGUGCGAGCGUUAAUCGGAAUUACUGGGCGUAAAGCGCACGUAGGCGGUCAGGCAGGUCGGGUGUGAAAGCCCUGGGCUCAACCUGGGAAUUGCAUUCGAAACUAUCUGACUCGAGUAUGGGAGAGGGAAGCGGAAUUUCCGGUGUAGCGGUGAAAUGCGUAGAUAUCGGAAGGAACACCAGUGGCGAAGGCGGCUUCCUGGACUAAUACUGACGCUGAGGUGCGAAAGCGUGGGGAGCAAACAGG
rnacentral:rRNA from 1 species